rnacentral:rRNA from 1 species
GAUGAACGCUAGCGGCAGGCUUAACACAUGCAAGUCGAGGGGUAUUUAUCUUCGGAUAGAGAGUCCGGCGCACGGGUGCGUAACGCGUAUGCAAUCUACCUUUUACAGAGGGAUAGCCCAGAGAAAUUUGGAUUAAUACCUCAUAGUAUAUAGACUCGGCAUCGAGAUUAUAUUAAAGUCACAACGGUAAAAGAUGAGCAUGCGUCCCAUUAGCUAGUUGGUAAGGUAACGGCUUACCAAGGCUACGAUGGGUAGGGGUCCUGAGAGGGAGAUCCCCCACACUGGUACUGAGACACGGACCAGACUCCUACGGGAGGCAGCAGUGAGGAAUAUUGGACAAUGGGCGCAAGCCUGAUCCAGCCAUGCCGCGUGCAGGAUGACGGUCCUAUGGAUUGUAAACUGCUUUUAGACGAGAAGAAACACUGCUACGUGUAGCAGCUUGACGGUAUCGUAAGAAUAAGAAUCGGCUAACUCCGUG